UACGAAGGGGGCUAGCGUUGCUCGGAAUCACUGGGCGUAAAGCGCACGUAGGCGGCUUUUUAAGUCAGGGGUGAAAUCCUGGAGCUCAACUCCAGAACUGCCUUUGAUACUGAGAGGCUUGAGUCCGGGAGAGGUGAGUGGAACUGCGAGUGUAGAGGUGAAAUUCGUAGAUAUUAGGAAGAACACCAGUGGCGAAGGCGGCCCACUGGAUCGGUACUGACGCUGAGGUGCGAAAGCGUGGGGAGCAAACAGG
rnacentral:rRNA from 1 species